rnacentral:rRNA from 1 species
CCCUUAGAUGUCCUGGGCUGCACGCGCGCUACUCUGGAAGUUACGGAUUGAGAUACUACCUUGUCCGAAAUGGUCCGGGUAAUCACCUAAAAGCUUGUCAUAAUUGGAAUGGAUUAUUGUAACUAGUAAUCCUGAACGAGGAAUUCCUAGUAAGUCCCAGUCAACAGCUGGUACUGAUUACGUCCCUGCCCUUUGUACACACCGCCCGUCGCUACUACUGAUUGGACGUUUAAGCAAGAUUUUUAAACACUGACAGUGUGUAGUUCACGCUAUACUACAGUGAGAAGAAGAAGAUCGAGCUUACUUGUCUAGAGGAAGUAAAAGUCGUAACA